UAACUGUCUACGGCGGUCUGACGCCUGAUACUAGGACUCAGAGAAGGUGGUAGGGGAAAUGAUUCUGGGGACUUCCACUGCCUCAGAAGGAAUGCCAGUCAGUGAAGUCAUGGUGCAAAGGCUCCCAAAGGGUUUUCUCCCUGUUUCCAAACGUCACAUUCCUUGGACACCCAGUGGUGUUUUUGAAGAACACCUUUGGUGACCCAGGGGAAUGAUGUGUACGAACUCGGUUGGAAUAGACGGUAUUCGGCUCGGUGGAGUCCACGACUAGCCUUGGAUGAAGGGCCACCAAUUGUGUCUGCCUGGGGACAUGGGCCACCGAGAAACAGAGCAAGAGUAAGUCAUUUCAGGCAGAUACCUGGCCGUUGGGAGCCAGUUCUGAGCCCAACUGUCAAAUUGGUCUUCAGAGCUCAUCCAUGAUCCGCACAACUAUGCCAGGUCUUCAGAUCUGGGAUUCCACCUGGCCUGCCCUCCCUUGCUGCAUGCUGGUGGCUGGCAGCUCUGCACAACAGUCCUAAGAAUUCACUCUCCCUCUGUCCCCUGCGGUUUCAUCAGUGGCCUUUUGGAAAAUUAGAAUCGGUGACUUCGGACAUCAAUUUCCAUGCAUCCUCUCUUAUCCCUUUGAAGCCCCCUGGGUGCCUUCACCGAGUGAGCCUUUCCUGCUGACCCAACCCACCUGACUUUUGCCCCUUCCCUUUAUCAUCCAAAGGCGGCCUCCAGAGGGAGUUGACCAUUAAGCUUAUUGUAAAACCUGCUAGGAAGCUGACUGAACGUCAGUCACGAAAGCUGGCUGAAGACUGACUUGAAUGAAUGAAUGAAUGAAUGAGUGCUCAGAUCCUUCCCGAAUGGUACCAUCUAUGGACAUAGGCAAAUAGAAUUCAUCUGGGGCACAGGAAGUUUGAACUCAAGUUUUCAGCUAAAAUGCAUAGAGUGACUAGGCUUGGGAAAAAUACUUGCUGGGAAAUAUCAUCAUAACCGAGCAGAUGGGGUUUCAUGGAGAAUCAUCUCAUUAGAAGUUAAAUUAGUCUGUAAAACGCAUUGUCUCUGUUUCUUUCAUCACACUGAGAAAAGGAAAGAUGGAUAAAAGGCUGUUGUUCUGAGUUAAAGGGGAACCUCAACUAAGCACAGAGCUGCCACGGCGUCCACAAAGGAUCUUCUCUCUCACACACACACACACACACACACACACUGUGGCCCAUCACUGUCCUCAAGAUAUGGGGGAAGAAAUAAUCUUUAGAGAUAAGCAUAAGAGGAAAGGUGUAGAAAACAAGAAUUAAGUGAGGAGGCAGCCAGCUGGAGCCCAGGCACGAUCAGUAACUGAGGCAGACUUCAGGCCAAAGGCCCACACAGGCUCGGCCCGUCCCAUUCCUCCCAGCACCAGGCCCCUGGGACGAAAACCCAAACCCAAACUGUGUUUCCUGCAGUUCAAGGCCAAUAGCCCCUGGCAGCACGGAGUUUUUUACUCACAGUUGCUUUUUGACAUCUGGGCCUCCCUAAAAGCAGACUGAGGAGUCAAAGUCUGUAGUCACCAGUCGCCACUGUUGGUGACCUCCCAUUUGUCUGGUGACCAGGAGAUAACUGUAGCUCACAGCGUGGGGACACGGCCUGCUUCUUUUGCUCUUGACCAGAGCUGCCCUGUGUGGCGUGGACAACCUCCUGAACGGGGUGCCAACAGCUCACAGUUUCUCCUCUACCAGCCUGUGGUUCCAAGUAUCAGAAUGGUAUCAUGGGUAGGCGUUGUCUCAAGAAAACCCCUUUUAGUGCAAGCCAACGGGAACCCCAGAGCGAGAAGAGCCCGUAACAUGAAUUUGUGUCUGGUUUAUUGGAACAGCUUCAGUCCAAGACAGGCAGGACAGACUGCUCUAGACAGUGCUAGCCCCAAGGGGGUGAAGGAAGGCCUGAAGCAAGGGAGAAAAUGGUCCAAGAGGCCCACGGACCCUGCCUGCUUCAUCGCGAUGUGCCCUGGUGAUCUGCUCCCCAUGCAGGCUUGCUCACCUCCCUGAAGGAGCCCUCAGUGCCCACCUGCCCUGCCAGUUCUCAGGAAUCGUUGGCAGAGAGGCUGAGCCUAUUCAGACAGGACCAAGGUUAGCAACACAGAAUGAGUCAAACAGUAUUAACUUUCAAUAGGGAAGUGGUGUGGUCAACCAAAGCUGUUUGCGGCUAGAUUGUGAAGAUAGGUACGGCAAAUAAUGAAGAACAACCCAGAAGACGGCGAGGAGGCCAAGGAGGCAAGGAGAGAGGCAGUUUCUCUCAGCAACACCCCAACGAGUAAGUCAACAGGACUCAACCCAGCUUUUGGAGUUGACCGAGGAAUUAACAGCAAGGUGUCUGACCGGCCAGUUUCCAGAAGGGCCAGAUCUUUGUCUCCUGAAUUCAGACACUGUGGUCCCCAAGUUGGGUGCCCCCCACCACACUCUCCGUUUCUCUUUCUCGUGGAUAUCUAUCUAUGCUCUGAAAGGGCAACUGCUUCUGCAGACAUUGAAGCCUACCGUUAGAGCUGAUAAGGACCUCAAGAACCACUGCAUCCCUCUCUCUCAUUCUGUAGAAAAGGAGACCGAGGUUCAGAGAGGGCCUGUAAGCUGCCCAACCUCGUGAGCCAGCCAGGCACAGAACCUUCAAGUCCCAGGCCAGCAGCCUUUCCACCAGGCCGGCCACUCCCUUGCCCAGGGCUCAGGAUUACUUGGAGAGUUCAACAGAGCAGCUCCCAGAGAACAGCCCGGCCCUCAAGACUCAAAUUUCAGCGGUUUCCAGUUCUUUCUCCCUGCACGAGGCUACCUAUUUAUUUUGAGACUCUGGCUGAAGGCAUACAAUGGGUUUCUCUGAAUCUGCUCCCUGCAGCAGGUCAGCAAAUGAACAAGACUCAGCACAUGAACAGGACAACGAGCUGGUCUCCAGAGCUUUGCAACGUUCCCACCUCAAAGCAGCUGCAACUUUUGACUCCUCCUGGGAAACUGGCACUAAGGCUAAAGGGUAUAACAUUUCGCCUGCCUGAAAUCUAAGCCAGCAAUCUCAGGG